GUGGGGAAUUUUGGACAAUGGGCGAAAGCCUGAUCCAGCAAUGCCGCGUGCAGGACGAAGGCCUUCGGGUUGUAAACUGCUUUUGUACGGAACGAAACAGCUCUUUCUAAUACAGAGAGCAAAUGACGGUACCGUAAGAAUAAGCACCGGCUAACUACGUGCCAGCAGCCGCGGUAAUACGUAGGGUGCAAGCGUUAAUCGGAAUUACUGGGCGUAAAGCGUGCGCAGGCGGUCUUUUAAGACAGAUGUGAAAUCCCCGGGCUUAACCUGGGAACCGCAUUUGUGACUGAAAGGCUAGAGUACGGCAGAGGGGGAUGGAAUUCCGCGUGUAGCAGUGAAAUGCGUAGAUAUGCGGAGGAACACCGAUGGCGAAGGCAAUCCCCUGGGCCUGUACUGACGCUCAUGCACGAAAGCGUGGGGAGCAAACAGGAUUAGAAACCCUAGUAGUCC
rnacentral:rRNA from 1 species